CGGAGGCAGCAGUGGGGAAUUUUGCGCAAUGGGGGAAACCCUGACGCAGCAACGCCGCGUGAGUGAUGAAGGCCUUCGGGUCGUAAAGCUCUGUCUAGAGGAAAGAAAUGUACGUCAGUUAAUACCUGGUGUACUUGACGGUACCUCUGAAGGAAGCACCGGCUAACUCCGUGCCAGCAGCCGCGGUGAUACGGAGGGUGCGAGCGUUGUUCGGAAUUAUUGGGCGUAAAGCGCGUGUAGGCGGUUUCUUAAGUCUGAUGUGAAAGCCCCGGGCUCAACCUGGGAAGUGCAUUGGAUACUGGGAGACUUGAGUACGGGAGAGGGUAGUGGAAUUCCUAGUGUAGGAGUGAAAUCCGUAGAUAUUAGGAGGAACACCGGUGGCGAAGGCGGCUGCCUGGACCGAUACUGACGCUGAGACGCGAAAGCGUGGGGAGCAAACAGGAUUAGAUACCCUGGUAGC
rnacentral:rRNA from 1 species